GGGGAAUAUUGCACAAUGGGCGAAAGCCUGAUGCAGCAACGCCGCGUGAAGGAAGAAGGUCUUCGGAUUGUAAACUUCUAUCAGAUGGGAAGAUAAUGACGGUACCAUACUAAGAAGCCCCGGCUAACUACGUGCCAGCAGCCGCGGUAAUACGUAGGGGGCAAGCGUUAUCCGGAAUUACUGGGUGUAAAGGGUGCGUAGGCGGCAAGAUAAGUCAGGUGUGAAAUUCCCGUGCUUAACAUGGGAGCUGCACUUGAAACUGUUUAGCUAGAGUACAGGAGAGGUAAGUGGAAUUCCUAGUGUAGCGGUGAAAUGCGUAGAUAUUAGGAGGAACACCAGUGGCGAAGGCGACUUACUGGACUGUAACUGACGCUGAUGCACGAAAGCGUGGGGAGCAAAC
rnacentral:rRNA from 1 species